rnacentral:rRNA from 1 species
ACUGAACGCUGGCGGCAGGCCUAACACAUGCAAGUCGAGCGGAUGAAGGGAGCUUGCUCCUGGAUUCAGCGGCGGACGGGUGAGUAAUGCCUAGGAAUCUGCCUGGUAGCGGGGGAUAACGUCCGGAAACGGGCGCUAAUACCGCAUACGUCCUGAGGGAGAAAGUGGGGGAUCUUCGGACCUCACGCUAUCAGAUGAGCCUAGGUCGGAUUAGCUAGUUGGUGGGGUAAAGGCCUACCAAGGCGACGAUCCGUAACUGGUCUGAGAGGAUGAUCAGUCACACUGGAACUGAGACACGGUCCAGACUCCUACGGGAGGCAGCAGUGGGGAAUAUUGGACAAUGGGCGAAAGCCUGAUCCAGCCAUGCCGCGUGUGUGAAGAAGGUCUUCGGAUUGUAAAGCACUUUAAGUUGGGAGGAAGGGCAGUAAGUUAAUACCUUGCUGUUUUGACGUUACCAACAGAAUAAGCACCGGCUAACUUCGUG